rnacentral:rRNA from 1 species
UGGGGAAUAUUGCACAAUGGGCGCAAGCCUGAUGCAGCCAUGCCGCGUGUGUGAAGAAGGCCUUCGGGUUGUAAAGCACUUUCAGCGGGGAGGAAGGCGUUAAGGUUAAUAACCUUGGCGAUUGACGUUACCCGCAGAAGAAGCACCGGCUAACUCCGUGCCAGCAGCCGCGGUAAUACGGAGGGUGCAAGCGUUAAUCGGAAUUACUGGGCGUAAAGCGCACGCAGGCGGUCUGUCAAGUCGGAUGUGAAAUCCCCGGGCUCAACCUGGGAACUGCAUUCGAAACUGGCAGGCUAGAGGCUUGUAGAGGGGGGUAGAAUGCCAGGUGUAGCGGUGAAAUGCGUAGAGAUCUGGAGGAAUACCGGUGGCGAAGGCGGCCCCCUGGACAAAGACUGACGCUCAGGUGCGAAAGCGUGGGGAGCAAACAGG